GAACGCACAUUGCGCCCUUUGGCAUUCCGAAGGGCAUGCCCGUUCGAGCGUCAUUACACCAAUCAAGCCUGGCUUGGUAUUGGGCGUCGGGAGACCCCGCGCCCCUAAUUCAUCGGCUGGACGGUUCGAAUCUCAGCGUUGUGGUCAUUCAAUUUGCUGGCGAGGACGACCGGACGCGCCGUUAAACCUCUUAUCACAGGUUGACCUCGGAUCGGGUAGGGAUACCCGCUGAACUUA
rnacentral:misc_RNA from 1 species